rnacentral:rRNA from 1 species
UGGGGAAUAUUGCACAAUGGGCGAAAGCCUGAUGCAGCAACGCCGCGUGAGUGAUGAAGGCCUUCGGGUUGUAAAGCUCUGUCUUCUGGGACGAUAAUGACGGUACCAGAGGAGGAAGCCACGGCUAACUACGUGCCAGCAGCCGCGGCAAUACGUAGGUGGCACGCGUUGUCCGGAUUUACUGGGCGUAAAGGAUGCGUAGGCGGAUACUUAAGUCAGAUGUGAAAAUCCCGGGCUUAACUUGGGAACUGCAUUUGAAACUGGGUAUCUAGAGUGCGGGAGAGGAAAGUGGAAUUCCUAGUGUAGCGGUGAAAUGCGUAGAGAUUAGGAGGAACACCAGUGGCGAAGGCGACUUUCUGGACCGUAACUGACGCUGAGGCAUGAAAGCGUGGGGAGCAAACA